AAAGUGGGGAUAGUAACAGUGCCCGCCUCAUAGCCCCAAUGUGAGAAUUACAUUAAUGCAGGAAGAGGCUUAAUUGCAGUGCAUGGGACCCAGCAUUCAGUACCGUUAGCUCUACUGCUGUGAUCACCACCGUCAUCACCAGUUUGACUGGUGUUUCCUCUCUGCCUUCAAGUAAUAACACUUACCUGGCCACUUUGCCUGCUCAGCGCCCUUCAGUGGCUUCCUAAUCCACUUGGGAAGAGACCAAGCCCCUGGAAGUAGCCUGGCAGCCCCACCUCCCUCUCUAGCCUCACCUUGCAUGACAUUCCCCCUUGCUCCAUUCCCUGCAGCCACACGGGCCUCAUAUCAGUUCUUCGUGUGAUUUAUGCUUGUCCCAUGCCAGGCACUCUGCCUCGAAUGACCUUUCCCUCCUCCUGCCCCUGGUUGAUGCCUCCUCAAUGUGGCCAUGGCCUCUCAGCCUCCCUGCACGCCCCCAGGCACUGUGAACCUGCGCUGCAGCCCUUGUCAUAGCUGUGAGCGGGCACUCAUUCCUUCCCUGGGUCGAUCUGUGCCGUUCCUACGAGACCCUAAGCUCCACGAGAGCAAAGACCCAAUCAUCCUUUGCCCACCUUUGUACUCAUGAUGUUUGCACAUGAGGUGCAGCACCUGUGUCUGAUCCUUCUCUCUCUCCUCCUGCCCGACCUUGCACAUAGCAGAAGAGGAGGAACCGUUUGUGUAGAGCCACAAAGCUACAAGGAAGAAGAGCACCCUGUGGUGGGCCAAAACAGACGGAGGACCUGCCCAAGGCACGGUGGCAACCCAGAAGAGGUACUACCCAGGCCUGGAGAGUCAGGAAGGCUUCCAGGAGGAAGCAGCAACCCUUCUGAGGCCUGAAGGAUGUCAGGUCAAGCAUGGUGGGGCAGCAGGAGGCGUGGAGGCACCGAGAUGGUUGCAGUGGAAGAAUAGCAUCUGCAAAGGCCAGAGGUGAGGGAGAGCUCGGGAUUCUCAAGUAAAGGCAAAGAGCUGUUUCUGAAGCAGAGAGUUCAUGUGGAAGAGAGGGAAAGGAUGAGCUUGGGGCCCAAAUGGGCCUUGGAGGCCAGUUAAACACUCCAACAUUUUCCUGAAGGCAGUUUGUGUAGGAUUGCCAGGUUUAGCAAAUAAAAAUACAGGUUGUCCUGUUAACUCUGAAUUUCAGAUCAACAAUUUUUUUAAAGUAGUUAUGUAUUCAGUAUUUUAUUUAUUUAUUUUUGGCUGUGUUGGGUCUUCGUUUCUGUGCGAGGGCUUUCUCUAGUUGCGGCAAGUGGGGGCCACUCUUCAUCGCGGUGCGCGGGCCUCUCAC